rfam:Hordeum vulgare subsp. vulgare, WGS project CAJW01000000 data, contig: morex_contig_56341
UUCAUACUCCCUCCGUCCCAAAAUUCUUGUCUUGGGUAUGUCUAGAAAUGGAUGUAUCUUAAUACUAAAGCAUUACUAGAUACAUUCAUAUCUAUAUAAAUCUAAGACAAAAAAUUUGGGACACAGGGAGUAUCAU